AGGCUGAGCCCUUUGUGGCCCGUCCUCCCUCCCUUCCCUGAGUGUUGGCCCGGCCUCUCCCCUCCUCCCCCAGCCCAUUCCCUGGCCUGACGAGUCCGGCGGUCUGGGGACGGUGGUUCUGCGGGGCAGGCCGCUAGCCUGGCUUUCGCCGCUGCCCUUGCUGGUGGGGCUGGGCCUCCGGGUCACGAUAUUCGACUUGACGUCUCGCCUGCAGCAAGGCAUCCAGGGCAUCCUAUCCCUUCUCAGGGACAGCUGUGAUUCUCGGGAGUCAAACUGGUCCGUCCUCCUUGUGCUUUUUCCUCAGGUUCGCGGACUGGACUGUAACAGGCACCAGCGAUUCCUGCUCCGGCUCUGCGGUUGCGGCAGACGUCGGAUGUCCCCGGAUCAGCAUUGCUCAAGGGAGAAAACUCAUAAGACUUCAUUGCUAUUAAGUAACCGCAAAAGCAGAGCCUUGGUUUUUCUGUGAGAAAUUGAACACCGUCUUUUAAAAAGUUGCGUUUCGACUCGUCCUCUCCCCCCCCCCCCCCCCACAUUCGUGCAUUAUGCGGUAGAAGUAAGGGCUUUUUCUUCACCAUCUGCUGAUCUCCCUGCACAAUGAAUUUCUGUUUCACUACUAUUAGAAGCUUUCCUAAGCUUUGGAAAAACAACCCAUAUCUUGGAGUCGGCCCAGGACACUCUUACAACUCUUUCUUUCUGAAAGAUGGUUAUGGCAUCAGGAACCAACAGAAGUUGUUUUCUCUUAAAACAGUGUCUCCACAAAAUACCAAAGCAAUAAACCUGACUGCCAAGGCCAGAUAUCGCAGAAAGGAAGAUGAGGGCAGUAAUAAAGUUUCUUCUGAGUUUCCUCACCUUUUUGCAGCUGGAGCAGCUAAGAAAAGAUCUCAAAUGAAUCCUCAUAAUCAAGAUCUUGCCUUGUCACCUGAGAGAAACAUUGUUCAGCUCCCAAGCAAACCUUUGAAUUCAGAGCAGUGGGAUAAACUUAAAGAAGAUUUCAAAGGAAAAGCUAAUUUUGAAGAUUGGAUCAUUAUACAGUUGAUUAACUACAAUAGCUCUAUAGAUGUGGCCAAAUCUUUGCUGGCCUGGGUAGCUGCAAAAAAUAAUGGUAUUGUAAGCUAUAAUUUGCUGGUCAAGUAUUUGUGUCUCUGUGUCUUUCAUAAGCAGACAUCAGAAGUUUUUGAUGUCUAUGAAAUCUUAAAAGCCAGAUACAAGACUUUAGAAACUUCAGCAAGCACUCUUCUCAUCCGAGGAUUAAUCCAUUCAGACAGAUGGAGAGAGGCUUUGCUGCUGUUAGAAGACAUCAAAAAAGUCAUGAUCCCUUCAAAAAAGAAUUAUGGUGACUGUAUCCAGGGAGCCCUCCUUCAUCAAGAUGUAGACAUAGCUUGGAAUUUGUUUCAGGAAUUGUUAGGUCAUGAUCUUAUUCCUAUGAUGGAAACUUUGAAAGCCUUCUUUGAUUUUGGAAAAGACUUAAAAGAUGAUCAAUAUUCAAAGAAACUGCUAGACCUUCUUUUGUAUCUAAGAAAUAAUCAGCUAUAUCCUGGGGAAUCAUUUGCACACAGUAUAAAAACAUGGUUUGAGAGUGUUCCUGGAGAACAAUGGAAAGGACAAUUUACCACAAUCCAGAAAAAUGGUCAAUGUUCGGGCUGUGGAAAAACCAUAGAGUCUAUUCACUUGAGUGCAGAAGAAUAUGAGCUCCUCAAGAGAAAAAUCCUGAGCGAUGUGAUAGAUGGAGGUGACCAAUACAAAAAGACAACACCUCAGGAACUAAAGAGAUUUCAGAACUUUGUGGAACAUUGUCCUCCUUUUGAUGUCGUCGUUGAUGGGCUCAACGUUGCCAAGAUGUUUCCUAAAGUUCGUGAGUCUCAAGUUCUCUUGAAAGUGGUCUCUCAGCUAGCCAAGGCUAAUCUUCGAGUGCUGGUCCUGGGCCGGAAACACAUGACAGUACAGAGUGCUCGGUGGAGAAAGGAUGAGAUGGAAAAGGUGCAAAAGCAAGCCAGCUGUUUCUUUGCUGACAACAUCUCAGAGGAUGAUCCGUUCCUUCUGUAUGCCACACUGAACUCAGGGAAUCACUGCAAGUUUAUCACAAAAGAUCUGCUGCGGGACCAUAAGGCCUGUCUACCUGAUGCCAAGACCCAACGCCUGUUCUUUAAGUGGCAGCAGGGACAUCAGCUGGCAAUUAUUAAUAGAUUUCUAGGAUCAAAAGUAAUUUUUCAGCAUAUUCCCAGCUAUGACACAGUGGUGCAAACAACUGGAGACUCGUGGCACAUACCAUAUGAUGAAGACCUGGUGGAAAGAUAUUCUUAUGAAGUGCCAACCAAAUGGCUUUGCCUUCACCGAAAGAUAUAAAGACUUUUACCCGCAUGCUAAAUUUGUAUUUGGGUGCCCUCCUGCUUGGCAUACUUGUUGAAAAACACUGGUUUAGACCAUUGCUUCUGUCCUGUUCUGUUUGGUCCAGUUGGUUUUUAUGUCAACAAAUUGGUUUUUUAAUUAAAUGAAUUAUAAUAUAUUUUCACAA